UACAUAACAAAAAUAUUUUUAAUGUGUGACCAUGAUAAACAUCAAUUCAUAAGAGGGAUGUGAGGAAAGGCAAUAAGAUUAGGAAGGGGACACAUGGUGUGGUGGGGGCGUCAAUGACACUUGAAAAGCUUCAUCUCUUGGGCUGAGUAGUAGAUGUUUGUUAUAUAUUAAUAAUUCUCUGUGGGGCUUUUGGUAUGCCUGAAAUGUUUCACAAUAAAAGUUAUAUAAUGAAAUAAAAAUUCAAAUGUAUCUCUAGAAAUGAAAUUCAUUUUCAUUUCUAGAAGGUGCAAUCAUGGACUUCUGGACUACUUAAAAUAUUUUUACAUCUUCAUUUUUGGCAUAAACAACAAUUCCAAACAAGAAUAAUUAUUUUCUGCAAAAAUAGAAAUGACUUUAAAUAAGUAUAUUUGAUUACAAUUACUACCCAAUUUUGUUCAAAACUCGAACUAUCUUCACAGGGGAACAAAGUUAAUACAUAUGACACCCUCUCUAAAAAAAUGCAUAUUUCAAAGAGGGAGUUUAAAGAAAGGCAUUGAAUCUGGAAAAAGUAGUAGUUCUUCUAUUUUUCCAUAUAUUCUAAAUGUAGAGGGAAUCUGUGCUGGGAGCACCCCAUGGUGUUGAAGCUGCGCUUCCAGCCUUGGCAUGGCCGGUGAUCCCAACCCUGGCCAAUGUGUCAGGAGGCAGAAUUACACAUUUGCACAUGGUUAAACAGUUUCGUCAGUGAAAUAGAUUUAAACUAGCUUUCAAAGAAGGAAAAGAAAACAUUCGAUGCAUUCCACGUUUUCCCUAAAGUAUACUGUACCUUCAAGUUAUGCUGCAUUUUGCAUUCCUUAGAGCCCCCCAAAACUAUUUAAAUUGUGCACAUAAAUCAUUCUAUCCCUUGUGAAAUAUAGCUGCCUCCUCCAGGAGAAGUAAGGGGCGCCCUGUCCCAAGUGGCUACACCCGGGGGUGAGGAGCCCAGCUCGAAGAGAAUCAAAGGCAGGUGAGGUGAAGGGACACGCAUUCCGCCUUGAAGGCAGAGUGGAGAGCUUGGGGGACGUUCUCAUGGUUUCUGUGCCCCAUCCACCACAGGCUUUGGGCUAAAAGCCCAUGUUUUUAAAGCUGGUAAAUUCUGCCUCCUGAUGACAUGCUUCUCAGCCAUUCCAGUAGGUGGGAAGUGGAGGGUUACAAGGGCAGAAAAGAUCAUCCAAAAAGAGGACCGAAGAGAGAAACUCAGAGCUAAGCUGGAAAAGGAUGGCCGGAGAGCGGAAGAUGAAAGGGCGGCACGCGGGGGAAAUCUUAUCCCAUCAGGAAAGGAUGAGGGCAGAGCCGGGGACUUCUGCUCCUGCUGCCAAGUUAAUCUGGUUGUACUGCUUCCCCGGGGAGCGCUCAGAGACCCUGGGACACGUGUGUGUGUGAGUGUGUUAAGGGACAGGAACUCAGAGCAGCAGAAGGAAGAUGGCACAAGGUGGCUUCAUUCCAAACCUCUGCAAUGCCCUGCUCAAUCAGACCAAAAUCCUGUUCUGGAAGAUCCACCCACUCAAAUCCGGUUCCCAACAAAACAACUGAGAGAAGUAGGUGGGAGUGGGAACUAUGGAAGGAUCAGCCCCCCCAUGGAACGGGCUGGCCCUGCUUACCAAUGCCUUCCUUUUGAACAGAGUGGAACUCAGAAAAAAGAGGCUUUCUCACAUGAAGAAAACAAAAGAGAAAGGAAAGUACUUAUCAAAGAUAAAGGAAAUCUUUUUCACUCCGCUUUGUACUGUGAUCUAAACCUACUGGAAGUCAGAGCCAAAAGAGCUGCAAACCCAAAUUGACAAGAAUAUCAUGCUGUCUUCUCCAUGGGGUUUGAAAAAAGUUGAGAAAUGACUUCAUUCCUCACGACCCUCCAGGACAUUCUCCAGUGAUCUUCAUGGUGGUGCCAGCUGUUUAUGUACCUCCAGUUAUUUACUAGAGGCUGUUCUGCAUAGAGAAAAAGGAUCCCUUUCUACUUUAUUCCAAUAUAGUGGUCAUUUUUUAUGGCCCUUUAUCUCAGUGGUCCCCAAAGCAUUUUACAGAGGAAUCUAAAUCUAUCCAUUAUUAAGGGGAAAAUACAGAUUUUUAGGGAACUGAAAUGAGAAAACCCUUUGGCUGGAAUAACUUAUCCUUUAUUUCACAAGGCUCUCAGUAACAUGGAACCUAUCUAAGCGGCAAAUAGAUUCAAAGUCAUACAGAAAAUGACCCAAAGAUUACAUUUUGUUUUUACUAUUCCAUUAGGUUGUUUGAGUUAAUUUAGAAAGUGAAUAAUAUUCAAAAUGGGGUAGUCUUUCACUUAUACCUUUACAAAUCAACAUUGACACAUGUCCUUAAAUAAAAUUAAAAACCGACUCCUAAUCAUUUAAACCAUGGUGAAAAAAAAAAAAAGCAUUUGUUAUAACCAGCAAACCAAAGGGCCAUUCACAGAGUAAGAGGUAGAUGAAUUAGACUGAAGGGGAAGAAUGGGGAUUAAUCUAAAUCACUGAUUGUUCCUUUCCUCAAAAUUCUCUUUUGGUAAAAAUUAAGUUGCACCAAAUAUCAAUCAGUUUUUUUGAUGAUAAGACUAUCAAGCUUGUUUCAUUAAACACUCUCCCAUCUCUUAGAGCUAUCUAAACAGGAUUUUCCCAUUUAGGCCCCUAUCAAUCCAGAUUUAUGAAUAUGCUGUAACUUGGGAGAUCCUUGUAUCAAAUAUUAAUAUUUGUAUAGUUAUUAAAGUAUUUGAUGAUUUGCACAGGGACUCUCAAAUAUAGCAUGUCAUUUAUAGUCUUUUCAAAGACUAUAAAUGGAAAAUUAUUUU